GUGGUUUGAUGUUGUUCUGCAUCUACCUGGGAGGAGUACUGCUGUCGUCUUUGAGUUUUGGAUAAUAGGAUUUUGAAUAGAGACAAGCAGAGAGGAUAUUUAGUUUUUGGGAUAUAAAUUCAACAAGGAUUGCUUGGUUAUUCAGUGGUCAGGAGAAAAUCCUAACAGAUUAGCAGGCUUAACCCUAAGUACCCCAGGGGAUCUUGGAUUGAGUCUUGACACGAGGGAUACUGUCUUUGGUAUUACUGAUGAUCCUCAACCUGGAUUAGAAGGACAUGUUUUCCCUAAUCCUGUUGACACGAAAAGCUACAUAGUAAUGUUGUGUUACAAGAAUGGGUCUCCAGCUCGUGAAGGUAUUCAGAACCGCUAUUGCGAAGGUUCUUGGGAUAGAUUCAACACAUAUCUUACAUAUGCCAAGCCCCUAAAUGAUGGAAAGAUGAGUUUCUACUAUACGGAGCAUGAAAUUCUUCCCCCACUUCCAGUUGGAUUUCAUCGCUACAUUCUUGAAAAUUUCACCGGUGACACUUCGGAGGGUGUGACUGUACGGGAAAUGGG